rnacentral:rRNA from 1 species
UACAGAGGCCAAGAGCGUUGUUCGGAUUUACUGGGCGUAAAGGGCGCGUAGGCGGCCGAGCAAGUCAAGUGUGGAAUCCCCGGGCCCAACCCGGGACGUGCGCUUGAGACUGCCCGGCUUCGAGUGCGGAAGGGGGAAUCGGAAUGCAGGGUGUAGCGGUGAAAUGCGUUGAUAUCCUGCAGAACACCGGCGGCGGAGGCGGAUUCCUUGUACGCAACUGACGCUGAGGCGCGAAAGUCGGGGGAGCAAA